AGGUGUAACGUCACGCAUCA
rnacentral:rRNA from 1 species